rnacentral:rRNA from 1 species
UACAGAGGUCUCAAGCGUUGUUCGGAUUCAUUGGGCGUAAAGGGCGCGUAGGCUGCGGGGCAAGUCGGGUGUGAAAUCUCAGAGCUCAACUCUGAAACUGCACUCGAUACUGCCGUGCUUGAGGACUGGAGAGGAGACUGGAAUUUACGGUGUAGCGGUGAAAUGCGUAGAUAUCGUAAGGAAGACCAGUGGCGAAGGCGGGUCUCUGGACAGUUCCUGACGCUGAGGCACGAAGGCCAGGGGAGCAAACGGG